AUGAACGCUAGCGGCAGGCUUAAUACAUGCAAGUCGAGGGGCAGCGCGGGUAGCAAUACCUGGCGGCGACCGGCGCACGGGUGCGUAACGCGUAUGUAAUCUACCUUUAACCGGGGAAUAGCCCAGAGAAAUCUGGAUUAAUGCCCUAUAGUAUUAUUGAAAGGCAUCUUUCGAUAAUUAAAGCUCAGGCGGUUUUAGAUGAACAUGCGUGUCAUUAGUUUGUUGGCGAGGUAACGGCUCACCAAGACUACGAUGACUAGGGGGUCUGAGAGGAUGAUCCCCCACACUGGUACUGAGACACGGACCAGACUCCUACGGGAGGCAGCAGUAAGGAAUAUUGGGCAAUGGAGGCAACUCUGACCCAGCCAUGCCGCGUGAAGGAUGACGGCCCUCGUGGUUGUAAACUUCUUUUGUACGGGAAUAACCCUCCGAACGUGUUCGGAGCUGAAGGUACCGUAAGAAUAAGGAUCGGCUAACUCCGU
rnacentral:rRNA from 1 species